GAAGGAAAUUAAGUACGGAAGUUCCUGAUUUCACGCUGUCAAGAAAAGCCUCUAGGAAGAGUAGUACUGCCCGUACCGCAAACCGACACAGGUAGAUGAGGAGAGAAUCCUAAGGUGAGCGAGAGAACUCUCGUUAAGGAACUCGGCAAAAUGACCCCGUAACUUCGGGAGAAGGGGUGCUCUAUUAGGGUGCAAGCCCGAGAGAGCCGCAGUGAAUAGGCCCAGGCGACUGUUUAGCAAAAACACAGGUCUCUGCAAAACCGUAAGGUGACGUAUAGGGGCUGACGCCUGCCCGGUGCUGGAAGGUUAAGAGGAGUGCUUAGCUUCGGCGAAGGUACGAAUUGAAGCCCCAGUAAACGGCGGCCGUAACUAUAACGGUCCUAAGGUAGCGAAAUUCCUUGUCGGGUAAGUUCCGACCCGCACGAAAGGCGCAACGAUCUGGGCACUGUCUCAACGAGAGACUCGGUGAAAUUAUAGUACCUGUGAAGAUGCAGGUUACCCGCGACAGGACGGAAAGACCCCGUGGAGCUUUACUGCAACCUGAUAUGGAAUGUUUGUACCGCUUGUACAGGAUAGGUAGGAGCCG
rnacentral:rRNA from 1 species